rnacentral:rRNA from 1 species
AGGAUGAACGCUGGCGGCGUGCCUAACACAUGCAAGUCGAGCGGACUUAUUAGGAGAGCGACUUCGGUCAACCACCUAAUAAGUAGCGGCGGAUGGGUGAGUAACGCGUGGGAAACCUACCUUAUAGAGGGGGAUAGCCUCGAGAAAUCGGGAUUAAUACCCCAUAAAACCAAGAGUUCACAUGAAUUCCUGGUCAAAGCGACUAAGCGCUAUAAGAUGGUCCCGCGUCCCAUUAGCUAGUUGGUGAGAUAAAAGCCCACCAAGGCAACGAUGGGUAGCCGACCUGAGAGGGUGAUCGGCCACACUGGGACUGAGACACGGCCCAGACUCCUACGGGAGGCAGCAGUGGGGAAUAUUGCGCAAUGGGGGGAACCCUGAACCGCAGCAACGCCGCGUGAGCGACGAAGGCCUUCGGGUCGUAAAGCUCUGUCAUAAGGGAUGAUAAUGACAGUACCUUAAGAGGAAGCCCCGGCUAACUACGUGCCAGCAGCCGC